rnacentral:SRP_RNA from 2 species
GCUGGGUGUGGUGGCGCACGCCUGUAAUCCCAUCUACUUGGGAGGCUGAGGCAGGAGAAUUGCUUGAACCCGGGAUGCUGGGAUUCGGAGGUUGCAGUGAGCCGAGAUUGCACCACUGCACUCUAGCCUGGGUGACAGAGCAGGACUCCAUCUCAA